ensembl:lncRNA
GCCUAAUAAAGAUGUGACGAUGUUCUCAGCUGCGGCUGCUGUUGCUGGAUACAAGCAACCACACGAGGGAGGCUGAGCACGCUCUCCUGUCUCUAUCCCAAUCCAGGAAACACACAGAAGAGCUCAGUGCUCUCUUGCUUUCAUUUCCUUCCAUGACCAAUUUUAAAAUGCACCUUGUUCUAGGCCGGCACAAGCUCUAGGGCCUAAAGGCACCGCCUGAGUGGCCAGCACAGCCCCGGGGCCUAAAGCCUCAGCCAGAGAGGCAUGAGGGCCCUGUGACCUAAAGCCACCACAAGAGAGGCCAGCACCGACCCCAGCGCCUAAAGCCACAGCCCGAGAUGCCUAAACAGACCCCGGGGCCUGAAGCCACAGGCAGGCAGGCCUGCACUGGCGCUGCAUCCUGAAGACUCAUCCCCAGCCUGAGAGGCCAGCACCAGCCCUGGGCCUAAAGCCAGAGUCACGGCAUCGAGAGGCCAGCACCAGCUCCAGGGCCUAAAGCCACAGCCCAAAGGGCCAGCACGUGCCCUGGGGCCUGAAGCCACUGCUAGAGAGGCCAGCACCGGCCCCAGGGCCUGAAGCCACAGCCUGACAGGCUGGAACCAAUCCGGGGAGUUCAAGCCACUACCACAGUUAGAGAGCUCAGCACAGGACUCAGGGUCUGAAGACACAGCCCCACCCUGAGAGGCCAGCACUGGCCUCGAGGCACACAGGGGUGCAUUCCAAUUGGUUUCUACUGAUUCCUAUUGGUCUCUAUUCACCCCCAUCAGUCCUUGCUGGUCUUUCCUGGACGCUGACGCAUUCCUUUCACAAAAACGAGGUCUGAUGUCCCACUCGUUUUCGGGUUUGUUCCCGUUUGUAAAAUAUUUUAUGACGUAUACAUAUCAAUCUAUGUCUCGUCCUGCUCAGUGCGUUUUGAGGGGGUGAAUCUUUUUCCAUCUCCUGAGUCGCGCCUCCCCUGGUCAGCAAAGGGUCACUGCCGCAAUGGAGUCAUCCAAACUCAGAGGAUUAAUACACAUCCAUUUAUUGACAGCAUUCUUAACAA